rnacentral:rRNA from 1 species
UCAGAGUUUGAUAUGCUCAGGAUGAACGCUGGCGGCGUGCCUAACACAUGCAAGUCGAACGAAGCUUGACGGAUGAUUUCUUCGGAAUGAAACCAGAUAUGACUUAGUGGCGGACGGGUGAGUAACACGUGAGCAACCUGCCUUUCAGAGGGGGAUAACGGCUGGAAACGGUCGCUAAUACCGCAUGAUGUGUUCGGAUGGCAUCAUCUGAACAUCAAAGAUUUAUCGCUGAAAGA